rnacentral:rRNA from 1 species
UGAGGAAUAUUGGUCAAUGGGCGAGAGCCUGAACCAGCCAAGUCGCGUGAAGGAUGAAGGUUCUAUGGAUUGUAAACUUCUUUUGUCCGAGGGUAAAGUGAGCCACGUGUGGUUUAUUGCAAGUAUCGGACGAAUAAGCAUCGGCUAACUCCGUG